AUAURGUAUAARUUUCUAUGUCAUUUAAAUAUAAAAACAUUUUUAAAUUAAGUAAAGGUGAUUUAAAUUUAUUUUAUAAUACCUAAAAAGUACCGUAAGGGAAUAUAUAUAAACUAAUAUAAAGGAAAAAUUAAAUUUUGUACCUUUUGCAUCAUGGUUUAACUAGAUACCAAAUUUUUUAUUAAAUUUCUCGAAAUCUAAUGAGUUAUUCUUACUCAGUGUUUUAGAAUUCCUAGGGCCAGUUGUUGUAUAAAUUCUCUGAGAAGUAAGAAUAGAAGUGAAAUGCUAUACGCCUUGGGAGAUAGCUAGUUCUUCUAAAAGAUAUUUAAGUAUUCUAAGUUGAUUUAAUUUACAUGACUAUAUACAUUUGACAAAUUUAAAUUUAUUUAAAUUUUUGAGGCUAAGCUCGAAGAUAGUAAUGUAUGUUUACAUUACUAUUUUUUUUAAAAUUUAAGCUUGAAAGUAGCUAAAAUCUCGAUUUUGUUAUAACUUCAUUAGUGAGUUAACUAAGCCAAUUUAUCUGUUUUUAAGUAAAUGAAGAAGACCUAAGAACUUUAAAAAGUACAAUCUAUGCUAAAAUAAGUACUAAUAUUAUUUAAAUUUAAUGUAUUAAAUAAAUUAAAACUCAGUAUUAUAUUUUCAUAUAAAUUUAUAAAAAGGAACUCGGCAAAUAUAUAUUCUGCCUGUUUAGCAAAAACAUGGCUCCUUGUAAAAAAUAAAUAAGGAGUUGGACCUGCCCAGUGAGUAAUUUUUAACGGCCGCGGUAUUUUAACUGUGCAAAGGUAGCAUAAUCAUUUGCCUUAUAAUUAAAGGCUAGCAUGAAUGGUUUGACAAGAAUAAAGCUGUCUCUUUAUAACUGUAUGAAAUUUUAUUUAAAAGUGAAGAAGCUUUUAUUAAAUUAAAAGACAAGAAGACCCUAUCGAGCUUAAAAACAAUAAGUAGGCAUCAUUAUAAUAGUACUAAAAAAAUUUCUCUUAAUAAUUUUAGUUGGGGCGACUGAGGAACAUAAAAAGCUUCCUUUAAAGAAUUAAAUACUUACAAUUAUUGAUCCAAAGUUUUUGAUUCAAGAAAUUAGUUACCGUAGGGAUAACAGCAUUAUCCUUUUUAAGAGUUCUUAUCGAAAAAGGGGUUUGUGACCUCGAUGUUGGACCAGAAUACCUUAAGAUGCAGCAGUCUUUAAAGGUUGGUAUGUUCGACCAUUAAAAUUCUACGUGAUCUGAGUUCAGACCGGCGUAAGCUAGGUCAGUUUCUAUCUUUAAUUUUUUAAUAAGUUUAGUACGAAAGGACCAACUUAC
rnacentral:rRNA from 1 species